rnacentral:rRNA from 1 species
AGUGAACGCUGGCGGUAGGCCUAACACAUGCAAGUCGAACGGCAGCACAGUAAGAGCUUGCUCUUACGGGUGGCGAGUGGCGGACGGGUGAGGAAUACAUCGGAAUCUACUUUUUCGUGGGGGAUAACGUAGGGAAACUUACGCUAAUACCGCAUACGACCUACGGGUGAAAGCAGGGGAUCUUCGGACCUUGCGCGAUUGAAUGAGCCGAUGUCGGAUUAGCUAGUUGGCGGGGUAAAGGUCCACCAAGGCGACGAUCCGUAGCUGGUCUGAGAGGAUGAUCAGCCACACUGGAACUGAGACACGGUCCAGACUCCUACGGGAGGCAGCAGUGGGGAAUAUUGGACAAUGGGCGCAAGCCUGAUCCAGCCAUACCGCGUGGGUGAAGAAGGCCUUCGGGUUGUAAAGCCCUUUUGUUGGGAAAGAAAAGCGGCAGGUUAAUACCCCGCUGUUCUGACGGUGCCCAAAGAAUAAGCACCGGCUAACUUCGUG